AAAAAAAAAUUCACUUAUGACAAACCAAAAACUUUUUUCACUCUUUUUCUCAUUCUUCUUAGUAUCCGAUACCUCUUUACUCUCUUCCUCUUCUGAUUUUUCAUCUUCCAUUUCAGAUCCAUCAUUGGGCUUAGAUCACCAUUAAACCCUAGAUUUACUUUUCCUUCACCGAUGCUCCGAAAUUUCUCUUAUUUGGUCUGAUUCGAGCUUAAAUCUCCUUCAUCUUGACUCGAGAGUCCAUUUGUUGCUCCAUCAAUAGAUCUAUUGUAGAUCGAAUCUGUUCUCUCUUCUCUCUUCUUCUUGUUCUUCUUCUUCUUUUUCUCUUUAGUUUCGCUGGAUCUUUCUUCUCAUAUAUGCCAUUCUUCCGAAUGAAUCGAA
rnacentral:lncRNA from 1 species